GGUGUUUUCAUUUCCUUCAUGAAAACAGAACCAUCCCAGCUUUGAGCAGUUGCUUUACUCACAUUCUAGGAUAACUAAGUCAGAAUAUUACACAUGUGUUUAAGAUACCUUGGAGCUAUGAUGGCAUUUUGAUUGGAAAAGCUGUCAGCUAUUGCAGGAACAGAACCAAAUAUGUAAGAAACUGCCAACAGAGAGAUUCAGGAGGAUAUAGACUUCGUGAAGAAACACAGCCCUCUGCUGGAAGAAAAGCUGAAUCCAAGGACACAGCUGUGGAGGAUGUAUGGAAAGAGACAUCUGUGUUUCAAAAUAUGGAGACGUCAGAAGCUGUCAAAAAAAGUUUACAAGAUUCAACGAAUCUUUACUGUUGAUUUACAUUUUUCUAAUGUAUUUACUUAUGGUAUUUAUUGAUUGUAAUAUUGAUAAUAUUUUUAAUGGUAAAUGCCUAAUGUGGAGGAUGCCAGUCUAAAUAAUCAAAGUAUAACAAAGUUACUGGUAACUUAAAAUUGAUUUUUUAAAACUGGAGGGAUGCUGUGCUACUUCAAAUUCAGAUAUUAGGAAUAAUUAUUAUGUUUUCAAUAUAUUUGCUAUAAUACCUUUUAGGUACAAAUCUAGAGUACAAUCUCUUUUCAAGGUACUUACAGUCUAAAAUGGUCUCUUUUCUGGCAAGUGAUUCAUAAUGUUGUUUCUUUUGUUUUAUUUUUAACUCAGUUUUGGGGAACUCUGAAGUCGUGUCAAAAUACUUCUAAAAUGAAAAAGUUAAUUGCCUAUUACACAAAUAAUAUAAGAACUAUCAUGAAUGAGUUCUGAGUUAUUAAAUACAUCACCAUUUUAUCAGUGCUAUAUGCCUGAAAUACUAAUUAAAAAUCAAGUUAGUAACAGUUUAUUUUUUAAGUUGGAUGUCUUUUUUCCAUGUUAAUGUCCUAAAAUAUAUGCAACUAAAAUAUUGAGAGGUACUUCAAUACAACUCAUAAAGUAGACUUAAAAUGUUUUUAAAGGCUAUUUUAAAACCCUCUUUUUUUCAGAGCAUUUUCUUUCUUUCUUUCCAAAAAUUGGUACUGCAUAUAACAAGAAGACAGACUUAUUGUUAUUGUAUUCAUAUGUCUUUACAUAUAUGUAUUUAUCUUAUUUAUAUAUUUCAUUUCAACAGAAUUUUUAAAUGUCAAGUAAAUUAUCUGUGACUUUUAUUGUGCUCUGAUUUAACUGUUUCUUACUCAGGUUUGGGGUUUCCUGCCAUGAUCUUAAAAAAGGACCUGAUACUUAGUUACCUUUGCAAUUACAAUAAUUAUUUAAUUUUUAAUAUCUAGUUUUUAAUAGCCAGAGAACUAAUUUAAGCAGUGAAGUUAAGCUAGAUUCUAAUAAAGAUUUUAUAUCAUGUUGUUUAUAUUUGUGGUAUUUUAAAAAGCAGAGGCAACAGACAUGCAUAUCUCUAUUUGAGAGCUGUUACAAACUGUGUGCACAAAUAUUAUCUAUCCCAUUAAAAAAAUAUGGUCAUUGUGUUUUCUGCAAGGCUGCACACCCUCUAGGAGAUGCUUCAGUAAUGAUUUUGCCAGGUUACUGAGUGAAACCUCUGUGGCUUCUUUGCACAUUAUUUCUUUCUUUCUGCUCCAGAGGUCACUAUCUUCCCAUGAAAGUAGCCACCUUUUCAAAAUAACUCCAAAAUUCUGUAACAGAAGGAAAGCCCUCUCGCUAGCAUUUUUUUUAAAUUGUGCAAUUUUACAAUGCAUUCUGUUGUCUUUCCCUGGCACUUCAAAUUUAAACAUCAAUUUUUAAACGGACAAGGAGAAGAUAAAUCUUGGAAUUUCUUUUUCAUUUCAAACAUUAUAUAUGCCUUUUAUAUAAAUUCUUUCAGAAAACUUGUUUUCUGACAUCAAAAAUAUGCAGUGAUGUUCAUUGUGAAUUCAUAGAAACACAAAAGAGAAUGAAAAGGAUUGAUGAAGAAUCUGAACAAAGAUGCUUGUGUGUAUGACAAAAUUAAAUAUGCUGAGAUGCUUUGAGUCAAUAGAAGUAAGAGCUCUCCACUAUGGUAUUAUAAUUUCCUGUUGGUUUUAAUAGAGGCAACCAAACUAUAGAAAAUUUCCUUGUAGAAAUUAUUUUAAAUUCUCUUGGUUUUUUUCUUCAAUUAAAAUAAUAGAAUUAUACGUGUUUAUCUCUUUUGUCUUAGCUUCCAUUAGCAGAAUAAGGAAGACAUGAUGUCCAGAAUUAUAUUCAAAUAUAAAGUUCCAUGAAUGAACUUCUAAAGCAUGCCACUUUUGUCUCAUAUUUUCUGCUUAUGAAUUUUUAAUCCCUUUGGUAUCAUUCUUACUGCACAAAUUACUGGAAUUUAUCAAAAUACCUUUUCUAUUUUCUUAUUUUUAAUAAACCAGCAAAAUUACUUUAUUGGAUUGCAAGGUAGCUUCUAUAUGGCAGUGGCUUAUGUUAGUGUUUCCUUGCUGUAACCUCUUAUCAGGUUAUUAACUGCUGGAUUAUCAAGUAGAGCUAUAGUAACACUUGGACACCACAUACAGCCAGUCACUGACAAAUAAUCCUUCCUUUCUAUCUCUGAAUAUACAGACAAAGAGUCAGCACUAAGAAUAAGUGUGCCAAAGAACAAGAAUAUCAAAUAUUUGAUGUUUGGUAAGAGAUUACACUCGACUUUGCUGCAUAUGCCCAUGGCUCGUUGCCAGCUUUUAUCUGGCAAAGUAGCAAGUGACAUAGUGGCCUUUUCUUUUUCACUUGAGAUGAGGAAAGCUCACAGGAACAAUUGAAAAGCAGUCAUAAACUUUUGAAAUAUCUUGAGUGGCCAGUUCCACAGCCAUGUGACAACACCUGUUCUUCAAAUAUCAGGUGUUUAAAAAACUAUGCAUGGUAAUUAUGGAGUAUAUAAAUUUCUUAGUAAAUAAUGAAAUUUGGUCCAUCUUAUUCGUUCAGAACUACCUAGGUUCACUAGGAAUUUAUAGGGCAGUUUCAUGUUUCAAGUUUUUCUCUGCAUUACCUGAGUUGGGUCAGCAUGCACUGUUCUGAUAUUCCAGAGAGCUGAUGUUAAAAAGUGCCUCAUGUACAGCAGGGGUUGAAAACAUGUCCUGAUCACUGUGCUUCAUUCAUUCAGUAAAUCUAAUGCUAAUGAUUGAGUUGUAUGUGCAAACUGGAGUCCUUGGUAACUUCAUUUCAGUAAAUGUCAAUUUCCCAUCCAGCACGAUCAUUACAAGGGAUUGUCCAUCUCCCAUUCCCUGUUUCUUCUAAAUGAUCAUUUUCAUUUGAAGUCACUAUAGAGUUGGCCUCAUUAGUUUACCUAAGAGCUGUAAAGGAGCACUUAUGGAGCUGAAUAAAUGUUUCUUGCUACCAAAUUUCUUAUUUUUUAAAGAAACAAGGACUUUCAAGGGUGCCUGUUAUCUACCGAUCCAUGUAUCAUCACGGGUUACUGCCAUGCCUCUUCAAAAUGAAGACACUGAUGUUCUCUUACUGCAGGAUCUCUGUUUCCUUACACUGAUCCAUUCAGCUCACAGGAGGUGCUGUGAAUGCAACAUACCAAUGUUUUGUAGAGAUCAUUUGUAGAGGAGAAUUCUGUUUAUUGGACUAACAGUGGAAUUUCGUGAAGCUCCUGGCAGCAGCAUUAGAUUCCUUCAAGGAGAUGGGCUGUCUGUGUCAGUGAGAUAACUGGGUGAUGCCACAAUGCUGUGGCAGUCUUUCUCUAGACAUUUAAAUAUGACUGUGAGCUAUGAGAGCUACUCUUACCACCAGCACAGGUGUAAAGCCUGUAAGAGCUUUUAUUCACUUCUGCUCAGUGAAUCCUUUGCCAAGGAUCAUUCUCAUCUGUAUAUACCUAAGAAUCUUAUGCUAUAGGCCAACCCAUCUCUGCCAAGAAAUCAUUGAACUCCAGAGGUUGUUACUAGCAGAAAUAAAUGUGGUCAUUUUCAUUGUCUACAAGCCAGCAGCACACAGCCAGACUUUCUAAAAAGACAAAAGGUAAGCAAUGUGAAUAACUGAUUGUUGUGGUUUAACCCCAGUGGGCACCUGAGCCCCACACAGCAUCUUGCUCUCUUCCUCUGAGCCAGGAUGGUGUGGAGAAUCAGAAGGGUAAAAAUGAAAAAAGCCACUGUUUGAAAUAAAGACAGUUUAAGAGAAAAAGAAGAAGCCAUACACACAAGGAAAACAAAGCAAGAAAUUAAUUUACCACUUCCACGGGCAGGCAGGUGUUCAGCCAUCUCCAUGAAAGCCGAGAUCCAUCACAUCUGACAUUUGCUUGAGAAGAAAAACACCAUCACUGAGGAAGUAGAUUCCUUCAGCUGCCGUCUGAGGAGGACUAGAAUAACGUAACAUUGAUAGGCAUGAGCAAGAUUUGUGGUGGCACAGACUUGAAAGACUGCUCUGCAGUUCAUACUCUUUUCUUUAUGUUCAGUGCCAUCACUGAGAAAAUGAUGAAGAUUGCACGAAGCUGAAAAUACUGAAGCUGUUAUAAAUCACGCGGCACAGUCUGUGGCUUGCACACACGCAUUGUGGCUGGUGCUGCUGUAAUUUUUCAUGACAGCUACGAUUCAGAAAGUUGUGGCUGAUAGGCAAUAUGAGAAGAAAAUUACAGCCUAUGACUGUUACAUGUCUGUUGUUAGAAUAGUGCCAAAUACUAUUUAUAUGUCUGUUUCAUGGGUGGUGGGACCUGAGGAAGUGGAGGAGUUCAAAAUGCUGAGCUUCACACUCGUGCUAUACACAGCCUGUGACACCUGGCAAGGUAAGUCUAUACUUCAGGAUUAGAUGAAACCUUGGAAGCAAGUAAAUGAAGAAUGUCUCAAACAAUCUUGCAGAAAAGGCUCUUGAAUUAGCGAUGAAGUGACUUUUAUGAUUGUUUCCUCUUGUCUUAUUGGAGGGGUUUUUUUGGGUUGUACUGCAAUAGUUGUCUCUAAAACUCAGGUAUUGUUAGUCUUAGUUCUGCAGUGGUGGAUUUAUUUUACAGUAUAAGACACACUUUGGAAUAUGUUAUUGACCAGAAUAGUUCUCUUGGCUGCAUGGAGAAAACUUUUUUCUGCCUGCUGAAACAGUGAUAAAAAUAAUGGACAAACUCCAGCAGCCAUUGUAAAAUUUUUAUCUGAUAUGCCUCUAUUUCUUUUGCCUUUUUGUCAAAUCCAUUCACAAGUGUUAGAAAAACACAAUUUCUGCAGCCUAUAAUGAGGUCUAUAACCAUGUCUCAUGGGAGUGUUUUCCUCACAAUUGUUGCAGUUAUUAGUAUCUUGUUCUGUAAUUAUGCAAGUUUUCCUUCCUAUAAUGCUCUUAAAUCUGCUAUUCAGAGUGAAAACAAGGCCCUUAACCCCUCCUUUGACCUUGCCUUCAAGUUCCUUUUAGCAUGAACAAUUUAUGUCAGUGAAAAAUUUAAUGUCACAAAUGACAUUUGUCCACAAAAUUACAGCUCAGUGGAUUGAUGAAAUGAGGAUGGCUCUGAGCUAGAUUCAGCCACUAGCAGAAUGCUAACUCCUAUUUUGUUUAGUUAACAUGUGAGGUAUGAAAAAAGCCUUUCUUUAUCUACUCCAAUACCUGCUCAGAGGUCCAAUUAGAAGGUGUAAUGUUGGCGGGCUUUAAGUGAGAGUGAACUGGUAGCAUGAGUAGCUCCAGCUGAAAUUGCAUCUACCUCCCAGGGUGGAUAUUUUGAAAUUAUCUCAUGCUUACCUGUUCAAGUAACAUAGUAGAGAAUCAAAAUAAAUUUUUACUAAUUCAGAUCUACUUUACAUUUUCCUUUAUGGAGAGGGACUACCUUGGAGUAUUUCCAAAUAGAUGGAUUCAUUUUGUGUGUAUUUCUAUUAGGAAUGAGUUAAAGCAUUCUGAAUUUAUUUGGACCAAAUACUGUAUGAAGUUAAAAGAAACAGAAGAGAAGAUUAUAAAGGAUGAAAAACACCUUGAGGAGUUAGUGGAGCAAAAAGCAGAAAUCCAGGAAGAUGUAAAAUGUUGGAACAGCAAAUUGAGUCUUGAAUAUUUAUAAACAAGCAAGUAAAUGAGUAUCUGUUAUUGAAAAGUACAUGAAUCCCUAAAUAUAUUGUAUGUGUAAGAGUUAAGAUUCUCUGUAUAAGUAAAAAUAUAAAUACAGAUUUUAAAAUUAGAGGUGGUAAAUUCAGUAGAGAUCUCUUGUUCAUUAUUUUUAGUAUUACUUUUCUGCUUUAAUUAUUAAAAAUAUCAUCAAACCAUUUUAUGGUUUUGUAAGUUACCUCCAUAUUUUUCAUUUCUGGGCACAUAUCUGCCUAAUAUUUAUCUUCUCAAACCAUCUGGAAUAAUGUGUGCAGGUAGUGGGACAGCAUAACUGUCCUCUGAAGUUACCAGAUUUUUUAAUCUGACAUGGCAUGUGAUACAAUUUUAUAUCAUGCAUAAUUGUGCUCUAUUUUAUUUACAAUUUUCCACUUUUUCUUCUAUGUUUCCAUAACUAAUUUUUAAAUCUUGUACUUUGUAGUCUAAAAUCUGAACUGGAGCUCCUCACAGAGCCAGACUAUGAGUUUUCAGUUAAUUGACAGCUCCUGUUGAGCCAGUAGAAAAUGCUUAGAAAAUGUAGAUGCUCACAACAGAAUCUGGAUUAUUUUUUUUUUUUUUACAUGUAUGUAAAAAAUGUGUGUAUAUAUACCAGUGCAAAUAAAUACGAAAUUCAUUCCCUUGUACAUGCUCAGUACCGUUAUGGGUUGUCCAUCUUGAUAAAUAGGUCCUGCUAAUGAUCAAAUCCAGAAUAUACAAUAUGGAGGAUUUCUGAGAAGCUGACUAUACCAAGCAUACCCAGAAUUUAACAAAAAAUCCCCAAAGCACCCCCCUCAAAAAAGCAAAGAUACAGUCAUAUUGCAACCACCAACAGCCAUGUUCUUGCCUUUUUUUUUUUCAGCUGUAUAUUACAGUUCUUUUCUAUUGGUGGUGCCAGCAAUUGCUAGAACACAACUAUAUUCAAAUAGAGAAAAUACUUAUUAAUAAACCUUUUUUGUCCUUUUAUUUUUCUUUCUACAUAUAUUUCCAUCUGGGAUUGACAACCAGAUAUACUUCAGCAGGUACCACCUGGUUAUUAAGACCAAGACAAUACAAAGACAGAUAUGCACAGCAGGGAUAUUGUGGUGCAUGGAACUGCUCCAUUAGAUGACCACCGAAAAGUGAGCCAAGUUGAGCAAAAAUCUGAUUUGUUGUUGCAAAUUUCCUUCAAAAACAUGGCUAAAUCAACAAACUGAGUAUAUUUUUGUAAAUAACAAUAGAUAUUCAGAAAGUUCAAAAUUAUUCUUCUGAUCAUCAUAAAAUAUUUCAGAGGUAAUUGAGUUAUUUUAGGAAUCAGGAAAAUAUUGGGUUUGUGUUCAGUUUCUUCACUGGGGUUUGAAUCAGACCCAAAUUAGAACAUGACAAUUGUCACAUACACCAGUAAGUCUGAAGACAGAAUAAGUGAUGUGAACGAAUGUUUUUUGGCAUUGUUUUUCUUAGCUCUUUUUUCUUGUGUUAAUUCAUGCUGAUUUUAAAUGUUAUAUGUGAUCUAUUAGGAGUGUUACAACUUUUGACACUGUAAGGACAACUCUGAGUUUUCUUUUUAUCAUGCUAAUCAGAUUUACAUUACAAAAGGUAUCUGUAUAGAUUAAACCUAUUUUCUGUAUCUACCUGGGCUUUGUUUAUGAAAGAUUAGAAGAAACCCUUCUUAUAAAAUUGUUCUCAUCCUUAACUAUUAUUCUUUUGUUUUCAUUAAUUACCUGCACAGUGUGACAUUAUUUCAAGUAACUCCUGUCAAAAUAUUUGCUCUAAAAGCAUUGAAAGAGUGAAAAACAUUUCUGAAUAGUGUUUUCCCUAUGUACUAGCAAUUUAAAAACUAGGACAGUUUGCUCAUACUUAAUCAGUUGGGAUUUUUUUUCCCCUGUAGAUAUAGCCAACUCUUUGUCUUUCUUACACUUCACCUGAGCUAUAUUUAGAAUCACAGAAUGGUUUGGAUUGGAAGGGAUCUUAAAUAUCAUCUAGUUCCAGGACCUUGCUGAGGACAGGGGCACCUCCCACUAGUCCAGGUUCCCCAAAGUUCCAUCCAGCCUGGCCUUGAACAUUUUCAGGGUUGGGGCAUUAUAUUUCUCGCAGUAUUUUACACAUUGGGAGGCUUAUCCAUUUUGGGUUUUAUCUCCUCUUUCUAGGUUAGUAAAGGUGCUUCAUUGCAGUUUUUUUUUCUCAGAUCAUGCUUUAGAAUCCACAAUCAUUCAGGUCAGGACUUUCAGUCCCCAAAUAUUUAGGAAGGUGCAGCCAUUCAUGGACAAUUGCCAGAACCCUAGAGAAGUACAGCAGAGCUGUGACAUUCUGGUCAAGAUAACAAGUUCCUCCUUAGCUGCUGGGACACAGUCACAAAGAUUCAUAUGGAAAUCUGUUCUUUAUCAGAUGCUUGAGGUACCAGUAGGAAAUUACAUGCCAUUUAAAGUACCUGUAUCCCAAUUCUGUCGUGAUUUUCUCACAUAUAUUGUUCUCUAAGACUUUUAUUAUCAACCUUGAUCUUGCUAGACCAAACAACAUGUUUGUUGCCUGGUCAUAUUCCAGUUGGACUCUCAUCACUAUAUGAAAUGUAUAGGAUGUGGUGUUGUUUCAACUUUUGCAGAGGAAGGACAGGGAAGGAAACAAAGUUUAUUAGGCUUCAUGUGAACAGUUAUGCCUUUCUCCAUCUAAAACCACUUUAAAUUAUUUCCUUAUCCUCUAGAUGGUUGCUUCCCUAACAUCCUCGUUUUCCCUUAAGCUCUACUGAUUGAUCCAUCAUUGAUUUGAGCAGAGAAAUUAUGGAUUCUCCAUCCAUGAGAGUGUUCAAGACCAGGUUGGAUAGGGCCCUGAGCUGCCUGAUCUAGUGGAAGGUGUCCCUUUCUGUGGCAAAGGGGGUUGGAAUCAGAUGAUCUUUAGGGUUCUCCCAACCCAAACUAUUCUGUGAUGCUAUGAAUCUCUGCAUGAUUCAAAUUAAGAGAGAUAUUGAGAUGUUAAGUAAAGUCUUAAGGCUGAGGAAAAACUUGGGGUAUUCUGCUUAGUUAUACCACAUAUGUCAAGUGUGAGUUAGCAGGCUGUGAUUGUGCUCUCACUGAGAUUGUGAAGCCUAGAGAGUCUGCCAGGAUAUCCUUCAAGGCCAAUGCACAAAUGCACACAAUAGCAUGAAACAUCCCUAACUGCUCUUUAAUAAACUUCCUUUUAGAUUUUUUAAAAAAUAUUGUUUAUUAUCACAAAGAAACAUGAGAAAUUUGUAUUGCUUACUUUACAAUAUAUUUUUUAUAUAGAAUAUUUGAAUAACAAAAUAGCAGCCCAAGGAGAUGAGAGUUUAAAAUUAUCAGAUGCUGCUUCUUAAAUGAUAAAAACUGUGGAAGAAUCAGUACCUUCUUUUCUUUUUUUUUACUGUAAAUUAAUUAAAAUACUUGCAUACUUGUGCCUUCUGUGUUGGCCUGAAAUAAUUUCAGCUUAUGUCAAAGUGUCUUAAUGGUUUAAUGUUCAUUAGAAAUCCAUCAAGGAAAGCAAUCUACUCACCAUAAAUCAAAGGAUUCUAAAUAUUAAUGAAGCAUUGGAGAGUUUGAAAUGUAAAAAUUAAGAACAUGAGGGGAAAAAAUAGAGAGUUUGUGCAAAAAAUAAGAAAUAGUUAGUGCCAGCAAUAUAAUAUAGGAAGAAAGAAAGAAAAUAUGUACCUUGAAAAUGAGGAAGAUUCUGAAAUGGAUUUUUUUAAACAGAAACCUCAGUCCCCAAAACAUUUUGGUAAAAGCUUUUAUCAUGGUCUUUUUUUCAUUUGUGAUGGUUAUAAGCGUAGAAUCUUAAAUAUUAUUUUUCUCUAUUUUCUGUGAAUUCUUUUAAGAUAUGCACAUAUAUUUUGUAGCUCUUCAGUUUAUUGAUUCCAAAUGUCUGUAUUUUAAACAAUACUGUACAUAAUAUUCUCAGUGCAGAAAAAAAAUCACAUUUUUUUAGUUUCCUCUUCCUUUGAACUCUGAUUGUAUGCUGGUUUUAUUUAUCUGAUAGCUAUCAUCUUUAUCCUCGAGAAACUUUGGAUUUUAUUGUCUGGUUUCAACGAAGUCAUCUGAAAAGAUUUCUUGAAAAUAAUUAGAUUCCUACAAUUUUUGUAGAAAUUGAUGACUGAGUUGAAUAAAUACAUCCUGUCAGCAGGAAAACAUUCCUUACUAGAUGCCAAAAAUUCCCUAUAAGAGGUGUGGGAAAAGGGAGGGGAUCAGAUGAUGAAAAAAGGAGGAGUUAUGUCCAGAGUCCUUAUUAAUGGUCCAAGUCAGAGCUCAUACCUUAACACACCAGUGUAAAUCAAUGAUGGGACACAAAUGAGUAAUAAAUCAGGCUUCAUUAGUUCUGAUGUUGAUGAAACUACUUAUUGGGAUUAUUAGAAUAUUUUGAAAUUAGUGACAGCUUUCUAAAUUUAUUAUUUUCAAUUUCAUUGAUAUCUUUCUUGAUCAACAGAAUUUUUAUUUAAUUGUACCUGUAAUAAUGGAGAAAGAUCUUACCUGUUUUGGAAGUAUUAACUGAUAAGCUGAAAGAGGAAACUCAGGCUUGUAAGAAUUUGUAGAGACAAAUAGAAUCAGGAUUGAGAUGUGAGUUGUCAGAAAGCAUAUUUGAGAAUCACUGAGACCAGGUUGUACACUAAAACUUUACAGAUCAUAGAAAGACUGGGGACAUUCACAAGAUAAAUCCUUAGAGUGUUGUCUAUGUCACAUAUAAUUGGUAUUGCUAUGAGUGUGUCCUGCUCGUUGUCCUUCCACGUGUUUGGGAAUUCAAGAAGUGCAUGUGAAAAUUCAUAUUCAAGUCCCAGAGAAUGACAAAUUAUGGAGUUCCCAGUACUGAGGGAUUCCAGGAGCUCUAUGUAUGUCUUCAAAGGAUGAUCUGAAACCCUCCCUUGAGAAGGAAAUAUCUUCUCAGGCUGCCAUUUACUCUAGUCAGAGGAAAUAAUGAGUGUAGGCUAAAUGUAAUAUUCAAUUCAGAAGAAAUGCAUUCUGUAUCUUUACUAUAAAACAGAAUUCUGCUUCUGAUACAACCCCAAAUUUCUUUUUAUUGCUUUCUUAUGAUAAUGUAAGUUAACUCUUACAUGGACUUUCUGGAAUGCUGUUUUAUUGCACCCCUUCAUUUUCUCAGUUUUACUUUAAAAACCACUAGCCUGCAUCUAACAUAUUAGAUCUUUAGGAAGAAAGCAAUUGCUAAUCUCUCCUAAAAAUUAGAAGUUGUGUCCAUUCCUCUUGUGUGUUACUGAGUGCAAGGACAAAAAAGAGGGCUGUUUGUAGGUCUUUUUAUUUGAAAGUCUUCUCUUAUCUUUUCUGGAGUUAUCUUUACUGAAUAAGAAAUUUGUUUUAAACAAAGGUUGUAAAUAAAUAUAGUUGGAGAGUUGCCAUUAAGUGCUAUGAGAGAGGCAGAAUAUUUGGUUCUGCUCAGAAACCUUAAAUUUUUGGUCUUCCACUAAUUUCUUCCUUUGUGUUACCUUUCCUUCAUAUUAUGUUAGAUAUCUUGAGUGAAAGAAGCUGAGGAAAAGCAGUACACUUAACCUGAUAUUAACUCAAUUUCCAUGAAGACUGACUAUAUCUUACAGGUAUUAUCUGACCAGGAAAACUCACAUCUUCAUGCUACAUACAGCUGCUAAAUGCAUGAAAUCUUUGGAAAAGAUUCAAAUUAAUCAAUUAAUUAAAAUAAAUAAUAAAUUAAUUAAUUUCAAAAAUUAAACACUUAGUAUUGCUUCUCAAAUGGGGCAGAGUUCCUGAGUAAGCUGCAGAAGCUGUGAUAAAAGUUUCAACACCUGUACAUGAAGUGGACCAUGGAACGCAUUGCACCAAAGAACUUCUUUCAGCUGCAGUCCACUUGCUUUUCUGCCUGGAAUAUUUAUGUUUUUCUUGCAUCCAUGCUGAAAGUGCUUUGACUUCCAGAGUCAUGGGUAGCUGUGUAUACAUCAAAACAAUUUUGCUCCAUGUGAAAAUUAUAGGCAGUCAGAAUGGAACAAUUAUCAUUUGGUUCCUUUCAUUUCUUUCCAGCUUCAGCACGCAUCUGCUUACUCUGCACUGUUGAGACAAAUUACAGUCUUGGCUUUACUGUUUUGAAAUCUAAGUCUUGUUAUGACUAUAGACAUUUUGGAAGGAAUCUUUGAAGCUAUUUACCUUUGCCUUCACCAAAAGAAGAUUGACUAUAUAUAUUUUAAGAAACAAACAGAAGACUUUUUUAGGGUUUUCCAUGUUUACUCUUUCAAAACUUCCCCUAGGAAAAGAGAGUAGUUAAUUGUCCAGUGACCUCUUGCCAGUAUUUUAGGAUAUGUGUUAUGUUCUUUAGGUAGUUUUUUGAGAUAGAAAACUCUUUUUCCUGCAUAGUCCUUGUUAUGACCUGCCUCUGAGGCAGGGUAACUGAGGUUCUUGCUAGUAGAUCUCUUGGGAUUAGAGUGAAAUAAUACUGAAUAAAGGGAGACUGGAGGAAAGCACCAGUGGUGUAGUGGUAUCAUGCAAGGUUCCCAUUCUUGUGACCUGGGUUCGAUUCCCAGCUGGUGCAUGGAUAAUUUCCUGAUCAUAGCCUGUGAAAUACCUAUAUUGCAGGUUUAAUGUAAUUCAGUAACAUAUGUGUUUUGUCUCUUAUUUUAUGCUUUUUAUUGCUUGAAUUUUGGGCAGGACAACUAAGUUGCUGUGGGCUUUUUCUUUGUAAUCCAGCUGUGUAAUUGAGUGGUAUUUUAAGUUUGCUUCUGUUAAAGAGUUCACUUCUACUGAAAGUUUGCUUUUAUGUAAAUAAAUUUUGUAUGUGACCUAAGAAUUCUGGAAAUAGUAACUUACUUGUAUUUUGAACUUAUCAGCCAUAUAACUAACAUACCACUGCACUGGUAUGAAAUAUCCUGUACAUGGCCAUUCAUCAUAAAAGAGAUUAACUGAGACUUUUUGACCAAUCUAACACUUUCAGAUAUAAGGGCUAUCGUUGACACUUCCUUCUCAUCCAAAAUUGAUAGUUUUAUGUUAUAUUUGGGAAGAGGGGCCAAAAAAAGCUGUUUAGUAUUCAAAUCUCAUCUCCUUCAAACAUAAGGGCCGUCCAUUCCAAUGAAUAGGAAGUCAGGCAAAAAUGCCAGGAGGCUUGCAUGGAUGAACAAGGAGCUCCAGGCAAAACUCAGAUGCAAAAAAGAAGAAUAUAGAGAGUGCAAUACAGAAAGUGGAAUCAGGGACAGGCAACCUAGGAGAAAUACAGCAGCAUUGUAUGAGCAUGUAGAGAUGCAGUUGGAAAAGUUGAAGCCAAAAUGAUAUUUCUUCAGGCAAGAAAUAUCAAAGACAACAAGAAGGACUUUAAGUCCAGACAUCACAAAAGGAGGACUACAGAAAAUGUGAGCCCAUUGCUGCUUGGGGCAGGGAACCUGAUGGCACAGGAAAAUGCUGCAGUACUGAAUUCCUUCUUUUCUCCAGUCUGUUCUGCAAGAGCCAGUCUUCAGGAAUCCUGGGUCCCAGAGACCAAGAGGAAAAGCUGGAGAAAGGAAUGGAUAUACUUCAUGGAAAGGAAUCAGAUCGGUCAGUACUUAUUCAAAAUGGAGAUUCAUAAUCCCAUGGGAUCUACAGACUAGUCGCCCUUGCCUCAAUCCACAGAAAAUGAUGGAGCAGUUAAUCCCACAAAACAUUUUCAAGGUAUGUUUCACAAAGGCAAGAAAGUCAUCAUGAGUAGUGUGCAAGGAUUCACCAAAGAAAUGUCAUGCUGGACCAGUUAUCAAACAGAAGUAACUGGCCUGGUAGGCAGGUGGAGAACAGUGGAAAUUGUCUGCCUGGACUUACACUGUCUCCCAUUAAGAUCCUCAUAGACAAGCUAUUGAUCCAAGGGCUAGAUAAGCAGACAGUGAGGUGAACUGAAAAUUAGCUGAAUGGCCAAGCCCAGAGGGUGGUGCUCAGUGGCACAAGGUCAAUUUGAGGGCCACUGCUGUGUGCUGAAAUAUUUACACAAAUGAAUAUUCCACCGUACAAUCAGGGGAAUUUUAUGGUUUAAGUAUCUAAGGAUUGUUAGUUGUUAGUCUUAGAAAUUAGGAUUUUAGAGGUGAUUCAGAUAAAGCCUCUGCUUAUUUGCUGUCUUACAUCCUUUUAUUAAAACGUAUUUAUCAAAUAUCACUUAGCAGUUCAAGUAGACUCUAUCAAUCACCCGUAUAUCCCUUCUCACAUUCUAAUUGAAUCCUUCAGAAAAUGAACGAAUUUUUAGACACUGUUGCCUGGUCAUGCUGAUCCCUCUCCUGUGCAUCAAGUUUUCCAUUUGGAAGCAAAUUUUUUUAAUAGUAAUUCAAUAAUUAAUGAGUUAUUCAAUAAUAUGAGAUUGCUUCUUAGGACUUUACAGAUUUUAUCUAUUUUGGAAUUUGGGUUCUUUUUCCCCCCUAUCAUGCUUUGUUUUCUGAGUGUUCAUGAUAAGUGUCUUUAAGUCCUUGUGAUCAUCGGUUUGCCUUACUUUGUCUCUAGUAAACUUCCUGUCAGAUGUGUUUGAAGAAGUACUUGGUUUAUGUCUCUUGCAGGUUUUUCCAAAUACUCUUGUUUACCUUGCCUGUUGCAUUUUUAUAUCUAAAUAAGCAAAGUUCAGGAUCUUUUCUGUUUUCCUCUUUUAGACAUAUUUUCAACCUUUUGUCUCACUACUAAUAGUUCCCCUUCUGUUAAUGACAUUGAUUUUUUUUUUAUAUUUCCAAAAAGUCUGUCAAUGCUUUCUCACAUUUUAAGCCUCCAAUGUGGUAUCUGUAAGUAAUCUCUCUUUGGCUUGCAAGUAUUUUAUUUUUAGAUGUUAGACAAUAAAGUUUUUAAUUAACUAAUUUUUAUAAAACUUUUUUUUUUCCAAUUUUGACUGCAGUGUUACUUUUUUGGAGUUUGUUGUUCUUUAAGCUGUUUUUGCAAGUGUAG